GGGGAAGUAUGGUUGCAAAGCUGAAACUUAAAGGAAUUGACGGAAGGGCACCACCAGGAGUGGAGCCUGCGGCUUAAUUUGACUCAACACGGGGAAACUCACCCGGCCCGGACACCGUAAGGAUUGACAGAUUGAUAGCUCUUUCAUGAUUCGGUGGUUGGUGGUGCAUGGCCGUUCUUAGUUCGUGGAUCGAUUUGUCUGGUUUAUUCCGAUAACGAGCGAGACUCUAGCCUACUAAAUAGUAACGAGAUUAUCAAUGUCUCAGCUGCUUCUUAGAGGGAUUUUCGGUGUUUAGCCGCACGAGAUUGAGCAAUAACAGGUCUGUGAUGCCCUUAGAUGUCCGGGGCUGCACGCGCGCUACACUGGCGAAAUCAGCGUGCUGUAUCCAUUCUCGAAAGGGAUUGGUAAACCCAUGAAAAUUUGCCGUGCUUGGGAUCGGAAAUUGCAAUUAUUUUCCGUGAACGAGGAAUUCCAAGUAAGUGCGAGUCAUCAACUCGCUCUGAUUACGUCCCUGCCCUUUGUACACACCGCCCGUCGCUGCCCGGGACUGAGCCAUUUCGAGAAGAUCAGGGACUGGUGAUCUGUGGCCUCUUCGGAGGUCCGGUUCGCUGGAAACUGAUUUGAUCGCAGUGGCUUGAACCGGGCAAAAGUCGUAACAAGGUAGCCGUAGGUGAACCUGCGGCUGGAUCAUUAUCGAGCUAACCAAAAAACGCUAGUGCUUYGGCACUAGUAGAUCGUGGUAGGAUCAUGUGCGGUACAUUUGCUUGAUGUACGUCUUGCACGCCACAAGUGACCCAACGGCUUCCGGUUGGUGUCUGUCUGGUGUUGAGCAGCUGUUGCCUAUGUCCGUGGCUGUGUCGACGCACCAGGGUAGCGUAUACGUCCCUUCAAUGGGGUA
rnacentral:rRNA from 1 species